UCAUCCACUGCUGUGCUGCCUGUGACGUUCAGCAGGAGGCAGCGUCAGGCCUGCUGAGGACUCUGCAGCACAGCUUGGAUCUGUCCUGCUCCUCCUGUGUGGAGCUACCAGAGGAGGAUCAGCCUGAGCCUCUGAGUCUGACCGCUGAUGACUGCAGGGCCGUCUCCACCAUCCUGACACACAGCAGCCGAGACACACAGCUCGACCUGCGAGACUGUGAGGUGGAGGACAGCGUGCUGGACCUGCUGUUUCCUGUCCUCCACAGGGUCCGCCUCAGGUGGGAAAGACCACUGAAGAGUCUAAACCAGAGAGAAGCUCGUUCACACUGGUGUUGAUGCAUCCUGACAGUUUCUCUUUGCUCUGUUUGUCCUGUUUAGAGUCAGUAAAACUGUCCUCCUCCAGCUGCUGUCUCUGGUUCCUGAGAACAGUGAGAGGGACACAGUGAGGCGGGCGGUGUCCCUGUGUGGAGCCCUGGGUGGAGAGCUGGAUCUCAGUCACAGCACGCUGGAUCAGAGGGCCUGUGGGGCUUUGGUCCAGAUGCUGGACUCGUGUGAAGGGCUGACAGAGCUGGACCUCAGUCACUGUCAGCUCACUGACCAGCUGCUGCUCCCUCUCAUCACACAUCUGCACAAAGUCCAAGUGCUGGAUCUGAGUCACAAUCAGAUCACUGAUGCUUCGACUGAUGCGUUGCUCCAGCUGCUCUCCAUCAACCCCUCCAUCGACUGUGUGCGACUUUACAGCAACAACAUCGUCGACAGAGCAGCUUUCAAGGAACACAAGCAGUUUGAGAUCUGGUGAAGCACUCGUCAUCAUCAUCGUCAUGAACAUCAUCGUCAUCAUCAUCAUCAUCAGGGAUUCACUGGUUUCCUCUGUUCUUGUCAUCAUUGCAUGAAAAUAUUGGGUGGAGUGGGAGCACUGAUACUGUGAGUUUUGAUGACCAGCUUAAUUUUUUUUUAUUUUUUCUACAAUGACUUGAAGACAGUUUAUAUGGAGACAAAGUGCAGCCAACAGUGUUUGUUUCAAUUUCCCACCGUUUCUUUUCUUUCUGAGCUACUGCAGAUGUUUCUUUGAUGGAGGUCAGAUGUCUAAUUGGUCAUGUGAUGAUGUCACAGUCCUGUGUCUUAGACCCACAAUUUUGAGUUUUGCGUUCUCGGUCUAAUCUUUUGGAUUUCAAGUCUUUAUUUCCCCAUGCAGUUACUUCCUGUUUUAUUUUGAUAGUCAUUUGUCUCUGUUCCUUGUAUUUAUGUUUGCUUGUCCUGAUUGGUUUCAGCUGUGUCUCAUUCCCUUAAUCUGCCCACUUUUAUAUUUACCUGUUAAACCUGAGAGUCCUGCAUACUGGCCCUGCUGAAACUUGACAGAUGAUCAUCUUGAUGUUUACACCUCUGAUAUUUCUGUAAUAAUUGUAAUUCUGUUAUAAUAUUAUUGAGACAAAACACGGAAGCCAUCACCGUUUUAUCAGUGCAGGGAGUCGGUCAUAUUUAUUAUUUGUACUUUUGUGAUAACGGUAUUUAUUCUGGUCUACAUGUUUCAGACAGGACAAAGUAGAGAGACUCUAGAAUGAUGUCUCAGAGUAACGAUGCAAUAAGUGAGCAAUCAGGAUAAAACCGUGUUUGGUACUUUGACAUAACUGGAAGAAAUGAUCAUAAACAUGUAAAUCAUUUUUAGUUUGUAUUUCAUGUUAAGAGAUACACGUGAUAAUGAUCAUUUCUGUUCUCUUAAUGUGACACUGUUAUGAAAUUUUCCUCAUUAAUGGACCUCAUGUAUAAUGAGUGGUGGCUGUAGCUCAGGGGGUAGAGCAGGUCAUCUACUAAUAUAAAGGUUGCUGGUUUGAUCCCUGGCUGCUCCGCCCUGCAUGCCAGAUAUCCUCAGGCAAGAUACUAACCCCAAGUUAAGCACAGAGAAAGUGCCUGAAUGAAUGUGUGGAUGAGGCAUGUUGUGUAAAGUGCUCUGAGUGCUGCAGGAGUAUACAAAAACACUAUGCAAGAAUUUAUCCUUUAAUACAUUUCAGGUUUUUAAAUGUAACUUUUUUUUACCAUAUUAAUGUCGAGCUUCAUGUAGACUCGGGGAAUAAAUAAUAAAAGUUCGGAUGUCUGUGAUCGACGUGAUUCUGUUUCAGUGAUUGUAGUUAUAGAAAGUCAGUCAUUAUACAGCAUCAGUAAUUCAGGAAAUUUGUACAGAAACAAAAUGCCAGUUUGAGAGGGAUGGGGAGAUUGUAUCAUUCAGGAAAUACUUAACGAGUAUGUCAGUCUCAUUUAGAUAAAAGAUCCAGCAGACUCGGAUGUGUCAGUACAGCUGGCACAGUCACACAGAGGAACCAGGAUCUCCUAAACAACCACAAAGUCACAUCACAUCAUUUUCUCUUUGACAGUGUAACAUCAGAGCAUUAAGCUUUUGGAUUGUUUGGCCACACAUACCAAAGGGCACCAACAGAAAAGACCCUCAUUUACCUUUAAGCCCCCUGUACAGUUAUAAUUUUUCACUUUUACUGUUACUUUAGUCUUCUUGCUAUACUUUAAAAUCACUUUUCAGUUCUAUAUUUUUUACAACCUUUGUUUACAAUCAUUUAUUUGCAUUACAGUGAUGUCAUGUAACCAACACAGCAUAUUGCAUGUCAGGCUCAAAAGGUCAAACUUUCUGGAAAAUUAUUCAAAGUACUGAAGUGAAACAAACCUGAUUUCAUGGCAGAAUCAUAACUAAUGCUCUUUGUAAGCUGAUUUCAGCCCCUAAACAGUCGCCGGAGGAAAGAAUCUGCAGAAUAAUGUGGACACAUGUUAGAAGUUUCCUGUCGAGUGUACAAACACUAACACCUCACCCACACAGUAAAGUGUGUAGCUAGAAAGAGUGAUAUUAGUCUAUAUCCCUGUCUCAGACUUAAAACUGAUGUUUUGCUGGCCUUUACUGCCACGAUCUACUUAAGCAAACACAGAAUCUCACAUUUUCUCCCUUUCACUCAAACACACAUUUUAAGUGCAAAAAUAAUUUAUAGCAAUAAUCAGUAAUAUGAAUAGCAUCAUUGCAGCCUUUGGUGAGCACCAUGGACAGCAACCGCAGUCAGUUUAUACUAUAACCUCACAUUAUCUUCUUCAACCAGGCUAUCACAAGCCAGAAACAGAUCCAGCCGUGCUAGGAUAACACAAAGACAAUUGUAUUGUCAUUAAAAUGGUAAAUGGUAAAUGGCCUGUAUUUGUAUAGCGCUUUACUUAGUCCCUAAGGACCCCAAAGCGCUUUACACAUCCAGUCAUCCACCCAUUCACACACACAUUCACACACUGGUGAUGGCAAGCUACAUUGUAAGUCCAUUAACCAAAGGUCCUCAAAGCCUCACUGGAUGUACCAACAACCAAACUCUUUUACAGAGAUCCUCAUUCAGCAAUCGUUUCUAAUGGACGUACUUCUAGAUGUAUCACACACACACACACACACACAUUACAGUAUGAGGAUAUAUUUUCCAGAUUUAGGUGGUAACAAUGUUUCAGUCCUUUACAAAAUCACAAACCAUUCACCCAUCAGAACUUUGUCCUUGUGCUACAACACUGCUCACAUCCAGAGUCCUGGUGUUGUACUGAUCCUGCC
ensembl:lncRNA